rnacentral:lncRNA from 1 species
GGAAAGGAUGCUAUGCCUCAGAUCCGGACAAACAGCACUCCCACCCGCUGUAGAAACUAUUAGGACUUCCCUGACUGAUUGUGGUGUGGAUGUUAUCACAGGAUAAACCAAGUAAUGCACUGCUGAUGCUACACCUCAUACUGUCUCACUCUGCCUAUGAGUUCGUCUGCAGCUGCAGUGGGCAGCUCUGUCCAUCAGGCUUACAUCAGCUGAAGUACCACGAAAUCCCAGAUGAAGAUGAAAGGAAGUAGAGGCAUGGAAAGGCUGACGUAUUUGAGGCUGAAGUUCUCCUGCGAAUGUUGAUGGUGUGACAGAGUCAGUCGGGACUUGGACCUUGCCAGCACUGCUGCACUUCCGCCUGCAAAAAGCAAAUGUUCUGGUCCCUCAAUGAUGCAGUCUUGGCCUUUCCUGUUCCUUCUGGGUGUCGUGGUCCCCAUGUGGACUCGGAUGGAGAAGUAGUGCUUUUCAGGGCCUCAGAAGCAAGGAGGUGGUCACCAUCCUGAGCACAUUUCCUAAGAGAGGCAGCAUGUCAAGAUUUCUAACAGGUGUUGUGUUGACCUAAUUCUUCUAAGGACAAUAAGGAAAAGAUAGUAAAGGAAGCAGUAUGGAAAGUCUAG